CAGCAGACACAUUCCAGCCAAUCAGCAGCAGACCCUCCCUCCCAGACCCUCCCACCUCCUGGACAGCAUCCAUUUUGAAGCUGCAUUCUUAGUGAGCUGUCCAGGAGGUGGAAGGGUCUGGGAGGGAGGGUCUGCUGCUGAUUGGCUGGAAUGUGUCUGCUG